GACAUUCCUAGCUGUUUGCUGUCUUGUAUGGAACUCCAUGUGAUCCACAGCUAAAGGGCUGACACACUUGCUACUGAAGCACCGCGGUCACCUCAGAGAAAUACACGUCCUACCCAGAGUAUUUCAAAAUGCAAAGGCAAGAAGAAGAAGUGGGAGGAGGGACAGAGAAGUCUCCACAGCCUGGAGGAUGAGAUGCUUCAGACAGAGGAAAAAAGCAAAGGUUUUUCUCCAUUCCCAGCCAAGAAGCAACACCUCUCCUCUGCCAGUUCAUCUCUGAUUUCAUCUCAUUCCUGGCCACACUGGAUAAAAGACAGAGGUCAGACUUUCAGAGACAUCUCCUAAGCCUUACUCAACUAUGGGGGAAAACCAGCACUUACUAUUAUCUUGGAAGACUUGAACCAAAGAUUUUUAUGUCAGUGGGAAGAUUCCUGCUGAUCCUAGGGCUCUUUGGGCUGAUCCUCCAUGUAAAGCACGGAGCAAUUUGGUCACAGUUGUUGUUUGGAAAAUGGAAUGUGGUAUUUUGCAUCUGCUUCUGUUCUAUGCUACACCCCACACAGAACACAUUGCAGUAGUUAGCUAAUAUUUACUGGGGGUGUAUCACAGCAACUAGUGUCACACUGGAAAGAACAGGCAAAGCAGAAGUAGAUAGGAACUGGCUUUUCUCCUACACAGAUGCCCCACAGCAAUGAGUCCGGUAAGACAUGAAAGAAAGGCACUAUCAGUCAAAAAGGAAAGGUGUAACUUUGCAUUAGUCAUCUGUACCUCCUUCUCUUCCUCUCUUCGCUAACUCACAGAUGAUGCUAGGUUACCAGAAGGCUGGUCUUCUACCACCACCAUUACAUGUUACUACACAUCAUUAUACUCCAACCACAUUUGAAAUAGUAGUCUCCUGCAUGAAGCCCAGCCACCCAAACAAUUAAAUAGUCUUGCAUCAUCAAGUGUCAAACAAGCAAACGCCACUCUGCUAUUUACAAGUGUGCCUCAUACAGGUAGCACUUUUCUCCUUAUGCACAAUAUCCUGUCCUUACCACUCAUUAUUUAGUGUUAUUUAGGUCUCUUAAAAUCCUGCUUUCACCCACAUCACUACAGAUAAGUAACAUCCUCAUGCAACAUGUUGUUUGUGGCAACAACAGGCUACAGGUUUGCCCACCUGCGUAAAUAUUUGCACGUUCAAACCCUUCUGCUGUAAAUCUCUAAGAGCUGAUGUGCCAAUAAUUAUUCCAACUACACUGAUGCCUUCAGAAAGCAUGCCACCUGAAUUAAUGGCUUCACAUUAAAGUGGUGGUGACG
rnacentral:lncRNA from 1 species